rnacentral:rRNA from 1 species
AUUGAACGCUGGCGGCAGGCCUAACACAUGCAAGUCGAACGAGUGGCGGACGGGUGAGUAAUGUCUGGGAAACUGCCCGAUGUAGGGGGAUAACUACUGGAAACGGUAGCUAAUACCGCAUACCAUCGGAUGUGCCCAGAUGGGAUUAGCUAGUAGGGGGGGUAAAGGCUCACUUAGGCGACGAUCCCUAGCGGGUCUGAGAGGCUGACCAGCCACACGGGAACUGAGACACGGUCCAGACUCCUACGGGAGGCAGCAGUGGGGAAUAUUGCACAAUGGGCGCAAGCCUGAUGCAGCCAUGCCGCGUGUAUGAAGAAGGCCUUCGGGUUGUAAAGUACUUUCAGCGGGGAGGCGUUACCCGCAGAAGAAGCACCGGCUAACUCCGUGCCAGCAGCCGCGGUAAUAC